UGACGGUACCUGGAGAAAAAGCCACGGCUAACUACGUGCCAGCAGCCGCGGUAAUACGUAGGUGGCAAGCGUUGUCCGGAUUUACUGGGUGUAAAGGGCGUGUAGGCGGAGGAUCAAGUCAGAAGUGAAAUCCAUGGGCUCAACCCGUGAACUGCUUUUGAAACUGAUCCCCUUGAGUAUCGGAGAGGCAGGCGGAAUUCCUAGUGUAGCGGUGAAAUGCGUAGAUAUUAGGAGGAACACCAGUGGCGAAGGCGGCCUGCUGGACGACAACUGACGCUGAGGCGCGAAAGCGUGGGGAGCAAACAGGAUUAGAUACCCUG
rnacentral:rRNA from 1 species